GAGUUCGAAAGAAGCAUAUUAAUGUUAAAUACGCUAGUGAAAAUGACUUUGUAAUCAUAUCUUCUUACAACACUGUUAGAUAUAUGUAAUCCUUCUUUCGAUCAAGUCCGGUUAGUUACAUACGAUCGCCCAAGUUAAACCAAACCUAAACCCUAUGAUAAACCAAACCUUUUUUUUUUUGUUUUUUUUUUUGUAAACCAUGAUAAACCAAACCUAAACAUUAUAACUUAGGACUGACUCAAGACUGGACUUAAACCGGAGACUGCCUGGUUAAUCCCUAAUCCAUUCCAUUAUACAAUUAAUCAGAGAUAACAUGUUCAGAAAACAAAC
rnacentral:lncRNA from 1 species